rnacentral:rRNA from 1 species
UACAGAGGGUGCAAACGUUAAUCGGAGUUACUGGGUGUAAAGGGCGCGUAGGCGGUUAUAUGUGUGUGAUGUGAAAGCCCCGGGCUUAACCUGGGAAGAGCAUCGCAAACUAUGUGUCUGGAGUAUAUGAGAGGGUGGCGGAAUUUCCGGUGUAGCGGUGAAAUGCGUAGAGAUCGGAAGGAACGUCGAUGGCGAAGGCAGCCACCUGGCAUAAUACUGACGCUGAGGCGCGAAAGCGUGGGGAGCGAACAGG